rnacentral:rRNA from 1 species
GACGAACGCUGGCGGCGUGCUUAACACAUGCAAGUCGAACGGAAAGGCCCUGCUUUUGUGGGGUGCUCGAGUGGCGAACGGGUGAGUAACACGUGAGUAACCUGCCCUUGACUUUGGGAUAACUUCAGGAAACUGGGGCUAAUACCGGAUAGGAGCUCCUGCUGCAUGGUGGGGGUUGGAAAGUUUCGGCGGUUGGGGAUGGACUCGCGGCUUAUCAGCUUGUUGGUGGGGUAGUGGCUUACCAAGGCUUUGACGGGUAGCCGGCCUGAGAGGGUGACCGGCCACAUGGGGACGGAGAUACGGCCGAGACUCCUACGGGAGGCAGCAGGGGGGAAUAUUGCACAAGGGGCGGAAGCCUGAUGCAGCAACGCCGCGUGCGGGAUGACGGCCUUCGGGGUGUAAACCGCUUUCGCCUGUGACGAAGCGUGAGUGACGGGAAGGGGUAAAGAAGCACCGGCUAACUACG